rnacentral:rRNA from 1 species
GAUGAACGCUGGCGGCGUGCCUAAUACAUGCAAGUCGAGCGAACGGACGAGAAGCUUGCUUCUCUGAUGUUAGCGGCGGACGGGUGAGUAACACGUGGAUAACCUACCUAUAAGACUGGGAUAACUUCGGGAAGCCGGAGCUAAUACCGGAUAAUAUUUUGAACCGCAUGGUUCAAAAGUGAAAGACGGUCUUGCUGUCACUUAUAGAUGGAUCCGCGCUGCAUUAGCUAGUUGGUAAGGUAACGGCUUACCAAGGCAACGAUGCAUAGCCGACCUGAGAGGGUGAUCGGCCACACUGGAACUGAGACACGGUCCAGACUCCACGGGAGGCAGCAGUAGGGAAUCUUCCGCAAUGGGCGAAAGCCUGACGGAGCAACGCCGCGUGAGUGAUGAAGGUCUUCGGAUCGUAAAACUCUGUUAUUAGGGAAGAACAUAUGUGUAAGUAACUGUGCACAUCUUGACGGUACCUAAUCAGAAAGCCACGGCUAACUACGUG